rnacentral:lncRNA from 1 species
ACUCCCGGGCUCGCCGCGAGCAGCCGCGAGCGCUCCACCUGCCCGGGGUCCUAGGGGUCGCCGCCGCCGCCGCAGCCACUUCGGCGGCCCGCGAUGCUGCCUCCGCUGCCGCCGCCGCCACCGCCGCCGCCCUGUGCAUUAUGGGAGCGGGAGGAGGCUGCGCUCCAGCGCUGCCACCGCGGCUGCUCUGGGCUCUCUCGGGCUCACGCUGCCUCCCAUCGGCUACGAGCACAGAGCAUCAUCAUCAUCAGCCUGCCAGCCGGCCCCGCCGCCGCCUCGCGCCCUGCCGAGGCCCGGAAACCCGCCCGGGACGUGAGCCCCGAGGGCGCGGCACACCCCGGGCGCCCCCACCCCGAAGCGAGCCCGGGGCCCUCUGCUGCGGAGCCUAGCUCCCGCGGUAGCGCAGCCAUGGCACGGGCUGUUACUGUGUCCGAAUAAACGAUGGGAGCCUCCAGGCUGCUCCUCCCGUCCUUCCAAGCAUUCCUAGGGAGAGGAUUUAGGGGAAGCCCUCUUGAAAGACUGUAGAAUAACCCAGGACUGUAGAAGAGCCUUGUCAGCAGCAGUGACCCGGGAGAUGGGCAAUGCAGGACCGGGAAUUUCAGGUUAAGGUUGAUCACCAAGGUCAUUCCGAGCACCUCGAUGUCUGCAGCAAAGUCGUCUCCCGAUACCAGAGGGCAAGGGCCGCUUCUAAGCUACAGAAACUUAAGUGACUUUGAAACGAGAUAGCCCGGGGACAGCCCAGGUGCCUCUUUCCUAGACCUGUGCGUUUGCGGAGAUGCAACUACCCUUCUGUCCCAGCCUUCUUCCCGUCCUGUU